rnacentral:rRNA from 1 species
UACGUAGGUCCCGAGCGUUGUCCGGAUUUAUUGGGCGUAAAGCGAGCGCAGGUGGUUUAUUAAGUCUGGUGUAAAAGGCAGUGGCUCAACCAUUGUAUGUAUUGGAAACUGGUAGACUUGAGUGCAGGAGAGGAGAGUGGAAUUCCAUGUGUAGCGGUGAAAUGCGUAGAUAUAUGGAGGAACACCGGUGGCGAAAGCGGCUCUCUGGCCUGUAACUGAUACUGAGGCUCGAAAGCGUGGGGAGCAAACAGG